rnacentral:lncRNA from 1 species
ACAUUGGUAUCCUGUCAUCUUUACCUUAUGCUUUACAUACUCAGUACAUUGUCCGUACUGACCCCCCUUUCCUCGGGGGGCUGCGUUUCAUGCCCGCAGGUGUAGACGCGCAGUUCGGUGAUCCUCCCGCCUAGGAUAUCUACUCUGCUGAUUGGGAGAGCUCCACUGUUCCGGAGCCCAGUCGUCUUGGUACAUAACUUUUGUGUAGUCUUUUGCUCGUCUAUGGGUAUGGCGGGGCCCUGUCCCGUCAAGUUUCACUAAUGUACUCUUAGAGGUCUGUGGACAUUAUGUGGGUUGUAUAUAUAUGUUUUGGAUAAUGGUCUGGACAUGGUUUGUUUGGGAUGUCCGCUUGUACAGGGGCAGCCUUGUCGGCUGCGUACAUCAUUAUGCUUUGAAUAGUGGCGGCCUUGUCGGCUCGCGUAUGCUGUUAUGGUUGAAUGGUUAUGACUCCUUUUGAGACAGGUCCUCUUAUAUAUAUAUAUGACGUUGGGGUUGGCUUGAUUUGAUUAAAUUCCAUAUUGUCUUAGUUUCAGUUGGUCAUACUUAGCAGGUUUGUAUGUGGGUGUCCAAAACGGGCACUAAUCACGGCCUAUCGGGUUGGGUCGUGACAAAGAGUGGUAUCAGAGCGGUUCUUCCUCGGAAGUGUCUACAGACCGUGUCUAGUAGAGUCUUGUUUAUCGGUGUGUUGUGCACCACAUCUAUAAACAGGAAGCUACAGGACAUUUAGGAUGUCAUUCUUUCUUCUUAUUCUAGAUCGUGCGAUAGAGCUAUAUUAACAGGAUAAUCCCUCUCUAACGAAUCCAUGUGUUUUCAGCUAUGCCUCCAAAGAAAGUGACAGCCGCCCAGAAGGGAAAAUCGGUAGCAGAAGGUACUAGUCAGACCCGAAGAGUUACUAGGGCCCGUGCCCAGUCUAUGCCUGGUAUUAUGCUCCCGUCGGAGAGCUCUGCUACACCCCCACCGCCAGAAGAGCUUAGAGCAGCAGCAGCUCCAGUUCGGGGGACACCACCAGCCCCCGAGGCCCCAACAUCUGAACCUCCAGCUCCUCAGUCAGGGGUGGAGGAUAGGGCCAUGAGAGAUGCGGUUCAAUUGCUGACUAGAUUAGUGGCAGAUCAGGCUCGCAGGCAUGGACUAGGAGUUGAUCAUGCGGACAGUUCUGAUAGCUUAAGGGCUCGUGACUUCUUAAGUUGUAAUCCUCCAGAGUUCUUUGGGUCAAGGCCACAGGAUGAUCCGCAAGAGUUUAUUCGUCAGAUGCAGCGUACAUUGAGGAUAAUCAAGGCUUCGGAGACCGAGUCUGUUGAGUUGGCUACGUAUCGUUUGCGGGAUGUAGCUAUUAAUUGGUAUGAGUCUUGGGAGUUAUCUAGGGGUGAGGGUGCCCCUCCAGCGGUAUGGGAUGAAUUUGUGGAGGCUUUCCAGGGCCACUUCCUGCCUCCAGAGAUGAAGCGAGCUAGAGUCGAUAAAUUCUUGCGUUUGAAGCAAAAUGGCAGGAGCGUUCGAGAGUAUAGCCUCGAGUUUGAUUCAUUGGCUAGGCAUGCGCCUACUAUUGUGGCUGAUAUGGCAGACAGGGUACAUCGUUAUGUGAUGGGAUUGGAUCGUUAUCUGAUUGACGGUUGUAUGGCAGUGACUCUUCAGCCAGGUAUGGACAUUGCUCGGGUGCAGGCAUAUGCACAGGGGGUAGAGGAUCGGCACCGGGGACGUCAGCCAGAUAGAGAUUAUAAUAGAGGCCAGCAUAAGAGGGCUAGAUCAGUAGGUUAUCCUGACGAGUUUCAAAGCGGGCAGUCUCAGCAGCAUGUUAGAUUUUCUUCCCAGCCAGCACAGAGUGCACCCCCACGUUUCAUGGGUAGGGGGUUCGAUCGUAUGGGAUAUUCGGAACCUGGUCAGAGCUCUAGGGCGUCAGGGUCACAGAUGGGCAGGGGUUUGAGCCAGUCGAGGCCACCUUUGCCUCGGUGUUCUCGUUGUGGUAAGUCCCAUCCUGGGGAAUGUCGUUGGGCUACAGGUGCGUGUUUUUCUUGCGGACGUCAGGGCCAUACUAUGAGGGAGUGUCACCUUAGAGGUAGUGCAGGUGGUAUGGCACAGCCUACAGGGUCCGUUGCUGGUUCAUCUUCUUCUGUGGCUAUGCGCCCUACGGGGCAGGGUAUUCAGGCACCAGCAGGCCGUGGUAGAGGACGUGGUGGAGCUUCUAGUUCUAGCGGUCCCUCAAACCGUAUAUAUGCUUUGACUAAUAGGCAAGAUCAAGAGGCGUCACCUAAUGUGAUCACAGGUAUAUUAUCACUAUUCUCCCGAAGUGUGUAUGCAUUGAUAGACCCAGGUUCCACCUUAUCAUAUAUAUCUCCCUUUGUUGCUAGUAGGAUCGGAAUAGAGUCUGAGUUGAUAGAACCAUUUGAGGUAGCUACACCUGUAGGAGAUUUUGUCAUAGCUACGCGAGUAUAUAGGAAUUGUUCAGUAGCUAUAUAUAGUCGUCAUACUGUAGCAGAUCUAAUAGAGUUAAAUAUGAUUGAGUUUGAUAUUAUCAUGGGCAUGGAUUGGUUGGCUGCUUGUUAUGCUAAUGUUGAUUGCAGAGAAAAGAUAGUUCGAUUUCAAUUUCCAGGGGAACCGAUUAUAGAGUGGAAGGGAAGUACAGUAUCGCCGAAAGGUAAGUUCAUUUCAUACCUCAAGGCCGGGAAGAUGGUUAGAAAAGGCUAUAUUUACCAUCUGAUUCGGGUGUAUGACAUAAAGGCAAAGGCACCGACUCUUCAAUCAGUCCCGGUAGUUAAUGAAUUUCCUGAUGUAUUCCCCGAGGAACUUCCAGGCCUUCCUCCAGAACGGGAGAUAGAGUUUACUAUAGAUGUACUGCCAGAUACCCAGCCUAUAUCUAUACCUCCUUAUAGAAUGGCACCUGCUGAGUUGAAAGAAUUGAAAGAGCAAUUGAGGGAUUUGCUAGAAAAGGGCUUCAUCAGGCCUAGUACGUCACCUUGGGGAGCACCAGUACUGUUUGUGAGGAAGAAGGAUGGGUCGCUGCGGAUGUGCAUUGAUUAUAGGCAGUUGAACAAAGUAACAAUAAAGAACAGGUAUCCCCUCCCAAGGAUUGACGAUCUAUUUGACCAGUUGCAGGGUGCAAAGUGUUUUUCAAAGAUAGACUUGCGGUCAGGUUAUCAUCAGGUGCGGGUAAGGGAGGCAGAUAUUCCAAAGACAGCAUUCCGGACCCGAUAUGGGCAUUAUGAGUUUAGAGUGCUGUCUUUUGGGCUGACUAAUGCUCCAGCGGUAUUCAUGGAUUUAAUGAAUCGAGUAUUUAAACCAUUCCUUGAUAUGUUUGUUAUUGUAUUUAUAGACGAUAUUCUGGUCUAUUCACGUUCAGAAGAGGAGCAUGCAGAUCAUUUAAGGACGGUACUUAGGGUGCUUCAGCACCAGAAGUUGUAUGCUAAAUUUUCUAAGUGCGAGUUCUGGUUGACUUCAGUGGCAUUCUUGGGGCAUAUUAUUAGAGCUGAUGGUAUUCGGGUAGAUACGCAGAAGAUUGAGGCAGUAAAGACUUGGCCCAGACCUACGACACCUACUGAGGUACGCAGCUUUUUGGGGUUAGCAGGAUAUUACAGGAGAUUCGUAGAAAAGUUUGCCUCAAUUUCAGUGCCUUUGACAAGGCUAACUCAAAAGGCAGCCAAGUUCCAGUGGACAGAUGCUUGUGAGCGAAGCUUCCAGCUAUUGAAAGACAAAUUGACUACAGCUCCAGUCCUAACUCUUCCAGAAGGACCAGACGGCUAUGUUAUUUAUUGUGAUGCUUCGGGUGUUGGGCUAGGAUGUGUAUUGAUGCAGCAUGGCAAAGUUAUAGCCUAUGCCUCCCGACAACUUAGGAAGCAUGAAAAGAACUAUCCUACUCACGAUCUGGAGUUAGCGGUCGUGGUUCAUGCCUUGAAGAUAUGGAGACAUUAUUUAUAUGGUGUCCAUGUGGACAUCUAUACAGAUCAUAAGAGUCUCCAAUAUAUCUUUAAACAGAAGGAGCUGAACUUACGACAGAGGCGGUGGUUAGAGUUGCUAAAGGAUUAUGAUGUUGAUAUUUUAUAUCAUCCAGGGAAAGCGAAUGUUGUAGCAGAUGCUCUUAGCCGUAAGUCCAUGGGUAGCUUGACAGAUGUACAACCAGAAGGAGGGAUAUGGUUCGGGAGAUUCAGCGGCUAUCCAGCCUUGGAGUCCGUCUAGCUAAUUCGGAAGAUAGUGGAGUUUCUAUUCGAGAGGUUGCUGAGUCCUCAAUCAUAGAUGAGGUAAAGAGACACCAAUACAAGGACCCUAUUCUGGCACAGUAUAGAGAUGCAGCUCUUCAAAAGGAAAAGACCCCAUUUAAGGUUACACCUGAUGGAGUGUUACGAUAUGAAGGCAGAUUGUGUGUACCCGAUACUGCGGGGCUACGACGGCAAGUUAUGGGAGAGGCACACUCUGCCCGUUAUUCUAUUCACCCAGGGUCAACAAAAAUGUAUCAUGACCUCAGAUGCUUAUAUUGGUGGGAUGGCAUGAAAAAGGACAUAGCAGAGUUUGUUGCUCAGUGCCCAAAUUGUCAACAAGUCAAGAUCGAACAUCAAAAGCCUGGUGGAUUAUUACAGGAGAUAGAGAUCCCGACUUGGAAAUGGGAGAUGAUUAAUAUGGACUUCAUUACAGGCUUACCUCGCACUCAACGGAAGUAUGACUCUAUAUGGGUUAUUGUAGAUAGGCUGACGAAAUCGGCCCAUUUUCUUCCAGUCAGGACUACUUAUUCGGCUGAAGAUUAUGCGAGGUUAUAUGUCAGGGAGAUAGUGAGACUUCAUGGGGUUCCCACGUCCAUUAUAUCAGACAGAGGAGCUCAAUUUACAGCCAACUUUUGGAGAUCGUUUCAGAAGGGAUUGGGGACACAGGUGAACCUUAGCACAGCAUUUCACCCUCAGACUGAUGGGCAGGCUGAGCGUACUAUUCAGACACUAGAAGAUAUGUUGCGGGCCUGUAUUAUUGACUUCAAAGGCAGCUGGGAUGACCACUUGCCGCUCAUUGAGUUUGCCUAUAAUAAUAGCUACCAUUCUAGUAUCCAGAUGGCACCGUACGAGGCCUUAUAUGGGAGGAAGUGCAGAUCACCUAUUGGUUGGUUUGAUGUUGGCGAGACUAAGUUAAUAGGCCCGGAUGUGAUUCAGCAAGCUGUUGACAAGGUAAAGCUUAUUCAAGAAAGAUUAUUAGCAGCCCAGAGUCGACAGAAGUCAUAUGCAGAUAAUCGGCGUCGAGAUUUGGAGUUUCAGAUUGGUGACUGGGUAUUCCUGAAGGUAUCACCCAUGAGGGGUGUGAUGAGAUUCGGCAGGAAGGGGAAGCUCAGUCCGAGAUACAUUGGGCCUUAUCAGAUUGUUCGUAGAAUAGGCAAGGUUGCCUAUGAGUUGGAUCUACCAUCUGAUUUGGAGGCGGUACAUCCAGUCUUCCAUGUAUCGAUGCUACGUAAAUGUAUUGGUGAUCCUUCUAGAGUAUUCCCUGUAGAUGAUAUUCAGGUAACAGAGGAGUUGUCAUAUGAGGAGAAACCCGUGGCUAUACUUGAUCGUCAGGUUAGAAGGUUACGUACUAAGGAUGUGGCUUCCGUCAAAGUGUUGUGGCAAAAUAACAAUAGGGAGGAGAUGACUUGGGAAGCGGAAGACGAAAUGAAAAAUAAGUAUCCUUACCUGUUCCCCGUACCUGCAGGUAAUUCAAUUCCUAGCUUGACUAUAUUGAUAGAUAAUGAGAUUAUGUAGCUGUGAGGCAUCUGUAAGUUACGGAAUGCAGGUUGAUAGGUAUAACUUUUAGAGAGACCUCGCUGGAAUUUGUUUUUGCAAGACGCUAACUUAACAUUCGAGGACGAAUGUUCCUAAGGGGGGAAGGAUGUUAUGCCUCGUAUUUUUUUUAUACGUAGUGCGCAUCGUGAUCUAGAAGACGUAAAGAAAUAUUAGGCAAGGAUGUUAUUUCCAAAUGUGAUAUUAAGUAUGAGUUGGUUAAUGUAAGUGCCAUUAACUUUAAGUGAGGGAUUAAUUAGUGGCUAAUUUGGAUUGAUUUAAUCCAAUGGGCCCCACCACUCAAGGCUAAAAUUAAAAAGGGAUCAGAUUGUGGGCUGGCCUUAGUGGACAGGUGUAGAGGGGGGCUGCCUCCACUUCAUACUAUUAAAUGAGGUGGAGAAAUCCACUCCAUGCUAUAUAAAGUGGUGAAAUGCAUUGCUGCAUAUCAUCUUCUUCUUCACCACUUGUCUUAGGCAGCCAUGGAAAUGGAGAAACCAACUCUGCAACUCUUGGCCAGCAGCUGCAAAUAAUUUGGUUAGUAAUCUCCUUGUUUGGUGUGUUAAUUCUUUAGAAUACCCUUGUUAAUUAUCCAUUAAUUUUAAGAAGGGGGCGUGACCAGUAGCUUAGGAAGUUUGUUUUAGUUAUUGAAUGUGCUAAGUAUGAAUGGAAACCAUAAUCGGAUUAUUAGUGGUGUCAUGUUGGUGCUUGGGAUGUUUAUAUGAUUCUUUGGGUUAUAUGUGUUAUUGGUAUUGCUGUGGAUAAUUUGGAUUGUUGUCGGAUUGGGACGAAGUAAGGAAAAUAGGGGAGGUGCUGCCGAAUUUUCGUUAGAUUAUUAGCUAGCUUACAAGAAAGUAAAGCACGAUAUUUAUCUAAUUGCGGCACGAUUGUUGCUUGUUAUAGAUUAAUAGCUUGAGCAGUAAAUAUUGGACGUGCGGCUCAAUUAUACGGUAUGUAACGCUGUCCCUUCUUUCUUUGCUUGGCAUGACUUUUAAAAAUAAGCGAAUAACGGACAGAUUUGAUACUUACCUCUAAAGCGUCUAGGUGAUGUAUAUUCUUGCUUCCACAAUUAUUCCUCUAUAUAUCGGUUAUGUCUAAGGCUAUGAUGAUCUCUAAUAUCUAUGGUAAUGCUUCUUAGAGUCAUUGAAAUUUUACGUUUUCAUAUCGUAUUAAAGGUUCAUAAUCUUGAUAAAACAUUAAUCUUUGGUAAUACUCCUUGCUGGUUCACGUUGAUUGUUCUAUUGAGUUAUAAGAAAUGAUUUUAAUUGCAUAUGGUUGCUCAUAAUAUUCUGCUCGUGCAUAGAGUCAUUUAUCAUUUCACCGAGUCCCAGGCCGGGUAAUGUUCGUGCGAAGUUUCUUGCAUAUGUCACCGAGUUCCUCACUAGAGGGCCGGGUAUGUAUAUUAUAUAUAUGAUUGGUGAUGAGGAUGGUUAUGAUGAUGAUGAUGACGGAGAUGACGUGAUGAUUAUUUUGCCGAGCCCCUUACUAGGGAAGCUGGGCACCUUAAAUGUUAAAUAUAUGCAUGAUUUUCACUUAAAAAGUAUAUGUGUAGCGAUAUUUUGUUUUGACUUGCCACAUUGGUAUCCUGUCAUCUUUACCUUAUGCUUUACAUACUCAGUACAUUGUCCGUACUGACCCCUCUUUCCUCGGGGGGCUGCGUUUCAUGCCCGCAGGUGUAGACGCUCAGUUCGGUGAUCCUCCCGCCUAGGAUAUCUACUCUGCUGAUUGGGAGAGCUCCACUGUUCCGGAGCCCAGCCGUUUUGGUACAUAACUUUUGUGUAGUCUUUUGCUCGUCUAUGGGUAUGGCGGGGCCCUGUCCCGCCGAGUUUCACUAAUGUACUCUUAGAGGUCUGUGGACAUUAUGUGGGUUGUAUAUAUAUGUUUUGGAUAAUGGUCUGGACAUGGUUUGUUUGGGAUGUCCGCUUGUACAGGGGCAGCCUUGUCGGCUGCGUACAUCAUUAUGCUUUGAAUAGUGGCGGCCUUGUCGGCUCGCGUAUGCUGUUAUGGUUGAAUGGUUAUGACUCCUUAUGAGACAGGUCCUCUUAUAUAUAUAUAUGACGUUGGGGUUGGCUUGAUUUGAUUAAAUACCAUAUUGUCUUAGUUUCAGUUGGUCAUACUUAGCAGGUUUGUAUGUGGGUGUCCAAAACGGGCACUAAUCACGGCCUAUCGGGUUGGGUCGUGACAAUAAACCACUGGGUAUGACCCUAGUACAUAUAGUAACAUAUCAAGAAUCAAAACGUUUGAGUACGACUUCUUGGGAAGCGCCAUAAAAGACUCCAAAGAUGACCCCAAUGUUGGACAAGGGAUCUAUCUGCCCAAGGCAGCGCGUAGGGCAAGGAUUUGGUGUCACGACCCAACCCAAUAGGCUGUGACUAGUCCCAUUUUGGACACCCACAUACAAACCUGCUAAGUAUGACCAACUGAAACUAAGACAAUGUGGAAUUUAAUCAAAUCAAGCCAACCCCAACGUCAUAUAUAUAUAAGAGGACCUUUCUCAUAAGGAGUCAUAACCAUUCAACCAUAACAGCAUACGCGAGCCGACAAGGCCGCCACUAUUCAAAGCAUAAUAACAUACGUAUGCCGACAAGGCUGCCACUACACAAUACACAAUGAUGUACGCAGCCGACAAGGCUGCCCCUGUACAAGCGGACAUCCCAAACAAACCAUGUCCAGACCAUUAUCCAAAACAUAUAUAUACAACCCACAUAAUGUCCACAGACCUCUAAGAGUACAUUAGUGAAACUCGACGGGACAGGGCCCCGCCAUACGCAUAGACGAGCAAAAGACUACACAAAAGUUAUGUACCAAAACGACUGGGCUCCGGAACAGUGGAGCUCUCCCAAUAAGCAGAGUAGAUAUCCUAGGCGGGAGGAUCACCGAACUGCGCGUCUACACCUGCGGACAUGAAACGCAGCCCCCCGAGGAAAGGGGGGUCAGUACGGCAAUGUACUGAGUAUGUAAAGCAUAAGGUAAAAAUGACAAGAUACCAAUAUGGCAAGUCGAAACAAAAUAUCGCUACACAUAUACCUUUUAAGUGAAAAUCAUGCAUAUAUUUAACAUUUAAGGUGCCCAGCUUCCCUAGUAAGGGGCUCGGCAAAAUAAUCAUCACGUCAUCUUCGUCAUCAUCAUCAUCAUAACCAUCCUCAUCACCAAUCAGAUAUAUAAUAUACAUACCCGGUCCUCUAGUGAGGAACUCGGUGACAUAUGCAAGAAACUCCGCACGAACAUUACCCGGCCCGGGACUCGGUGAAAUGAUAAAUGACUCUAUGCACGAGCAGAAUAUUAUGACCAACCAUAUGCAAUUAAAAUCAUUUCUUAUAACUCAAUAGAACAAUCAACGUGAACCAGCAAGGAGUAUUACCAAAGAUUAAUGUUUUAUCAAGAUUAUGAACCUUUAAUACGAUAUGGAAACGUAAAAUCUCAAUGACUCUAAGAAGCAUUAUCAUAGAUAUUAGGGAUCAUCAUAGCCUUAGACAUAGCCGAUAUAUAGAGGAAUAAUUGUGGAAGCAAGAAUAUACAUCACCUAGACGCUUUAGAGGUAAGUAUCAAAUCUAUUCGUUAUUCGCUUAUUUUUAAAAGUCAUGCCAAGCAAAGAAAGAAGGGACAGCGUUACAUACCGUAUAAUCGAGCCACACGUCCAAUAUUUACUGCUCAAGCUAUUAAUCUAUAACAAGCAACAAUCAUGCCGCAAUUAGAUAAACAUCGUUCUUUACUUUCUUGUAAACUAGCUAAUAAUCUAACGAAAAUUCGGCAGCACCUCCCCUAUUUUCCUUACUUCAUCCCAAUCUGAAAACAAUCCAAAUUAUCCACAGCAAUACCAAUAACACAUAUAACCCAAAGAAUCAUAUUAAACAGCCCCCUCCCCAAAACAGUUCCGUCUCGGCAACUAUAGCAGCGAAGCAACGACACACCGAGCGAUAACUCGUUUUAUAAUUCGCAACACAUCUACCUUAUCGUAUUCAUCCUUUGGAGUAUAUACUCAUAAUAACAUUCAACAUAUACAUAAUGUCAAAACAGAAUUUUCCUGCAGUUUGCUUUAAUCAAAACAGCCCAAGCACCAACACGACACCACUAAUAAUCCGAUUAUGGUUUCCAUUCAUACUUAGCACAUUCAAUAACUAAAACAAACUUCCUAAGCUACUGGUCACGGCCCCUUCUUAAAAUUAAUGGAUAAUUAAUGAGGGUAUUCUAAAGAAUUAACACACAAAACAAGGAGAUUACUAACCAAAUUAUUUGCAGCGCUGGCUAAGAGUUGCAGGGUUGGUUUCUCCAUUUCCAUGGCUGCCUAAGACAAGUGGUGAAGAAGAAGAUGAUAUGCAGCAAUGCAUUUCACCACUUUAUAUAGCAUGGAGUGGAUUUCUCCACCUCAUUUAAUAGUAUGAAGUGGAGGCAGCACCCCUCUACACCUGUUGUUAUGCCUCGUAUUUUUUUUAUAUACGUAGUGCGCAUCGUGAUCUAGAAGACGUAAAGAAAUAUUAGGCAAGGAUGUUAUUUCCAAAUGUGAUAUUAAGUAUGAGUUGGCUAAUGUAAGUGCCAUUAAAUUUAAGUGAGGGAUUAAUUAGUGGCUAAUUUGGACUGAUUUAAUUCAAUGGGCCCCACCACUCAAGGCAAAAAAAUUAAAAAGGGAUCAGAUUGUGGGCUGGCCUUAGUGGACAGGUGUAGAGGGGGGCUGCCUCCACUUCAUACUAUUAAAUGAGGUGGAGAAAUCCACUCCAUGCUAUAUAAAGUGGUGAAAUGCAUUGCUGCAUAUCAUCUUCUUCUUCACCACUUGUCUUAGGCAGCCAUGGAAAUGGAGAAACCAACCCUGCAACUCUUGGCCAGCAGUUGCAAAUAAUUUGAUUAGUAAUCUCCUUAUUUGGUGUGUUAAUUCUUUAGAAUACCCUUGUUAAUUAUCCAUUAAUUUUAAGAAGGGGGCGUGACCAGUAGCUUAGGAAGUUUGUUUUAGUUAUUGAAUGUACUAAGUAUGAAUGGAAACCAUAAUCAGAUUAUUAGUGGUGUCGUGCUGGUUCUUGGGCUGUUUUGAUUAAAGCAAACUGCAGGAAAAUUCUGUUUUGGCAUUAUGUAUAUGUUGAAUGUGAUUAUGAGUAUAUACUCCAAAGGAUGAAUACGAUAAGGUAGAUGUGUUACAAAUUAUAAAACGAGUUAUCAGUCGGUGUGUCGUUGCUUCGCUGAUAUAGUUGCCGAGAAGGAACUGUUUUGGGGAGGGGGCUGUUUAAUAUGAUUCUUUGGGUUAUAUGUGUUAUUGGUAUUGUUGUGGAUAAUUUGGAUUGUUGUCGGAUUGGGACGAAGUAAGGAAAAUAGGGGAGGUGCUGCCGAAUUUUCGUUAGAUUAUUAGCUAGCUUACAAGAAAGUAAAGCACGAUGUUUAUCUAAUUGCGGCACGAUUGUUGCUUGUUAUAGAUUAAUAGCUUGAGCAGUAAAUAUUGGACGUGCGGCUCGAUUAUACGGUAUGUAACGCUGUCCCUUCUUUCUUUGCUUGGCAUGACUUUUAAAAAUAAGCGAAUAACGGACAGAUUUGAUACUUACCUCUAAAGCGUCUAGGUGAUGUAUAUUCUUGCUUCCACAAUUAUUCCUCUAUAUAUCGGUUAUGUCUAAGGCUAUGAUGAUCUCUAAUAUCUAUGGUAAUGCUUCUUAGAGUCAUUGAAAUUUUACGUUUUCAUAUCGUAUUAAAGGUUCAUAAUCUUGAUAAAACAUUAAUCUUUGGUAAUACUCCUUGCUGGUUCACGUUGAUUGUUCUAUUGAGUUAUAAGAAAUGAUUUUAAUUGCAUAUGGUUGCUCAUAAUAUUCUGCUCGUGCAUAGAGUCAUUUAUCAUUUCACCGAGUCCCGGGCCGGGUAAUGUUCGUGUGGAGUUUCUUGCAUAUGUCACCGAGUUCCUCACUAGAGGGCCGGGUAUGUAUAUUAUAUAUAUGAUUGGUGAUGAGGAUGGUUAUGAUGAUGAUGAUGACGGAGAUGACGUGAUGAUUAUUUUGCCGAGCCCCUUACUAGGGAAGCUGGGCACCUUAAAUGUUAAAUAUAUGCAUGAUUUUCACUUAAAAAGUAUAUGUGUAGCGAUAUUUUGUUUCGAGUUGCCACAUUGGUAUCCUGUCAUCUUUACCUUAUGCUUUACAUACUCAGUACAUUGUCCGUACUGACCCCCCUUUCCUCGGGGGGCUGCGUUUCAUGCCCGCAGGUGUAGACGCGCAGUUCGGUGAUCCUCCCGCCUAGGAUAUCUACUCUGCUGAUUAGAGCUCCACUGUUCCGGAGCCCAUUCGUUUUGGUACAUAACUUUUGUGUAGUCUUUUGCUCGUCUAUGGGUAUGGCGGGGCCCUGUCCCGUCGAGUUUCACUAAUGUACCCUUAGAGGUCUGUGGACAUUAUGUGGGUUGUAUAUAUAUGUUUUGGAUAAUGGUCUGGACGUGGUUUGUUUGGGAUGUCCGCUUGUACAGGGGCAGCCUUGUCGGUUGUGUACAUCAUUAUGCUUUGAAUAGUGGCGGCCUUGUCGGCUCGCGUAUGCUGUUAUGGUUGAAUGGUUAUGACUCCUUAUGAGACAGGUCCUCUUAUAUAUAUAUAUGACGUUGGGGUUGGCUUGAUUUGUUUAAAUUCCAUAUUGUCUUAGUUUCAGUUGGUCAUACUUAGCAGGUUUGUAUGUGGGUGUCCAAAACGGGCACUAAUCACGGCCUAUCGGGUUGGGUCGUGACAAAGAGUGGUAUCAGAGCGGUUCUUCCUCGGAAGUGUCUACAGACCGUGUCUAGUAGAGUCUUGUUUAUCGGUGUGUUGUGCACCACAUCUAUAAACAGGAAGCUACAGGACAUUUAUGAUGUCAUUCUUUCUUCUUAUUCUAGAUCGUGCGAUAGAGCUAUAUUAACAGGAUAAUCCCUCUCUAACGAAUCCAUGUGUUUUCAGCUAUGCCUCCAAAGAAAGCGACAGCCGCCCAGAAGGGAAAAUCGGUAGCAGAAGGUACUAGUCAGAC